AUGCCUAGGAUUGCUGCGAAGCUCCCGCGCCGCCGCCGGCGGCUGUGCGCGGACGAGGACCGCCUCGGUGACCUCCCCGACGAUCUGCUCCUUGACAUCCUGCGCCGCCUCGACACCCGCACCGCGCUCGGCGCCGCGGCGCUCUCCAGGCGCUGGGCCAGCCUGCCCCGCGAGGUCCCCGUCCUGGACCUCAAGGUCAGCGACAUACUGCCGCCCCGCUACCACCGGUGCUUCCGCCUCAGCGAAGACGCCAGGGAUUCGAAAAUCAGCUCGACCUUGUCUGACAGGAGGCUUCUAGAGGCUAUCACCGCCCGGUACGAGCGCCGCGCCAUGCGAUCCAUGGUCUGCUCCCUCAAGAGCCUCCUGGCCAGCCAAGCUCGCCGGCGCGUGGAGAGGCUGUCGCUCGAGGUCUUCGCCUACAGCACCUCGGCCUGCAUCAACCGCCUGGUCGUGGACGCCGUCGAUUCCUGGGGCGUCCGGGAUCUGGAGGUUGUUGCCACCCCGACAGGGCCGCUCACGCGUCUGGAGCCGUCGGCCUACAGCUUCCCUCUAGGCCUCAUCAGCAGGAAGCCCGGCGAGUCCCGACUGCGAAGCCUCAAACUUGCCAACUGCUUGCCCCCGCCGCUCCGGGGAUUCAACGCGCUCACCACGCUCGUCUUGCGAGACUUGCCGGUUCCCACGCCGGCGGCCGCCUACGAGGAAGCGGUCGCCGCGUGCCCGCAGUUGCAAGUGCUACACAUCCUUUCAUGCGAGAUCAAGAUAACUGCCCGCAGGGUGGUUCUUGACGCGCCCAAAUCGGAAAUCAGGGAGCUUGUACUCGGCGGCGAGCUCGUGUCGGUCGAGAUCCGGUCUCUCCCGAAGCUCGAGAGUCUCGCCAGCCAGGAAGCUACCGUGCUGCUUUGCUCCGCCGCCGCCGCCCCGUGCCUUGCGCACGUGAGCCUCGCCUUCUCGGUUGGCCGACUGGAAGGGGGCGGUUUAGCUGGUCUAAACCGCUCCUACCGCGACUUCUUGAUUCAGCGGCUCGUGCAGUUCUUCCAGGGCGCCAUCACCGUGAAGGAUCUGGUCUUGCGGUUUACUGGGCCAGAGAUGUGGAUCAUGCCGGAGAAUCCCUUCUCUGCAAUGGCGAACCUGAGAAGGCUGCUCGUCGCCGAUGUGCCUUCCUCAUGGGACGCCUCAUGGCCGCGCCUGCUCAUCGAGACGGCACCGUUACUUGAGAGCCUUUAUGUGCAUGUCUCCCACAGCGAAGGCGAGCCGAGACAGGAGGUGCCGGGGGAGACAUCGGCUUCGCGCCAUUACCAUUUGAAGGAGCUUGUUGUCAUUGGAUUCCAGAGGACGGAGAGGCAGAUGCGCCUUGUGAGGUUCACCGUGGAGGUAUCCACGGCGCUGCGGCGUGUCGCACUGCUCAAGCAGGGACGCGUCGAGGACAAAGGGUCCUGCUGCGACUGGGAGGUGGUGAGCCAGCAGAGCGCGUGGUGCGACGAGGAGAGGCUCGCCGUUCUGGAUGGUAUCGGCUGUUCGACGGGACAGAUCGAAGUGGUGCUCAGUUGA
rnacentral:rRNA from 1 species